CAUAGCACGCACCCUCAGCUCAGUCGGAAGCCGGAACUCUUCUGCAUGGGACUGUCAUGCUUUAGCUUUCUUUAUGGUAAAUACCUAUAGUACAGUAUAUGUAGAUUGUAUACUGUUAUACUUUAUAUGCAUAUACUGUACUUACAUAGUCGGGGUGGUUAUGAUUUAACGAAGAGGUCGAGGGGAAAGAAGAAGAAUAAAGACGAAGAAAAGAGAAAUGAAAGCGGGGAGGGAGGCGUGAGAAUGAAAAGGCCUCUUUGCAAUUACUUAUCCUCUAGAGACCAAAGUGAACGGUAAUGAGUCCAGAAGGAGGUAGUUUGGGAGGGGCGACGACUGCUGGAGACGAAAGAGGCUGGCUAAGAUCUCCUCCGUUGUACCCUAAUGAGGCCAGUUGGCCGAAGCCAAGAUUUCAAAUGUAGUUAAUCUUGGAAAUCACAAAGGAAGGCCAAAGGGACACAAAAGUUCGUCGUUAAUCUAGAUUAAAUAUCAGGAGGAGUAUUCGUCCAUUGCCAACUCCUUCUGGGAGGACAAGUUUUUGAAUCCUCUCUGGAGUUCUUCGCCGGCAGACUUCUGAAUGAUUUCCACUUUUUACCAUUCCCCGACCAAGAAACGACUCUUGAAGAUCAAUGUUUUUCGGAUUAUGAGGAACAAAAUGACCCUCGGAUAUAAAAGUCCCACUUGCUCGCUGGCUCGUUGACUCACCCGCUGGUUCGCAGCAGUCGGUCUAUCUAACUAGCCAGUAUAGUACAGACCUACAGCUGACCAAGCUCCAAGUUUUUUUCUCGAGUCUACAUCAGAUUCAGAAGACCUAUCGAGCAGGAGGCAGGCACAAGCCAAGUGAAAAGUUCUCUUCAACACUUCCACCUCCUCCACCUCAACCACCUCCUACUCCUUCUCCUCCGGAUGAUGGUGAUGACGAUGAUGAUGAUGGGGCCAUAUUUAAGAAAGGAGAGUUUUCGGAAGCUCGCUGAGCCAAUAAAAAGAAGAAGAAAUCAACGUCUGCUUGGAGAUCAAGAAAAUGUCCAUCCCCUUCCGGUUUUGUCUUGAAGAACGAAAAUGGGAAGAUUCUCCAGCGAGAGAAUCACGUUGUGCCCAGCAUAGAAUAUGGAAUGAGAUUAUUCAAAACGUCAUCUCACCAGACCUUCGGGAAUCGCGAGAGACAUCGACACCAUUUUUCGCUCGACGAUCUCUACGUACGUAUAUAGACAAAUGGAAACUCCUUGGCCAUGCAAGCCAAUACGUAAAACAUUACCACCAACCGAUAUACAUAGUAUACAAUAAUGACGACCGUUGAAGUGGCAAUAGAAGAUCCGCUCCCUGUACAUGUGUUCGUAGCUACCACGACAUUUGACAUCUUUAGUCCAACAUACAAUAUAUACCAA